CCUACGGGAGGCAGCAGUAGGGAAUUUUUCACAAUGGGCGAAAGCCUGAUGGAGCAACGCCGCGUGCAGGAUGAAGGCCUUCGGGUUGUAAACUGCUUUUAUAAGCGAGAAAUAUGAUGGUAACUUAUGAAUAAGGCUCGGCUACCUACGUGCCAGCAGCCGCGGCCAUACGUAGGAUCCGAGCAUUAUCCGGAGUGACUGGGUGUAAAGAGUUGCGUAGGUGGCAUAAUAAGUAGCUAGUGAAAUCUGGUGGCUCAACCAUUCAGACUAUUGGCUAAACUGUUAAGCUCGAGAGCGUUAGGGGUAACUGGAAUUUCUAGUGUAGGAGUGAAAUCCGUAGAUAUUAGAAAGAACACCAAUAGCGUAGGCAGGUUACUGGGACGGAUCUGACACUAAGGCACGAAAGCGUAGGGAGCAAACGGGAUUAGAUACCCUAGUAGUC
rnacentral:rRNA from 1 species